rnacentral:misc_RNA from 1 species
CAGAGCGAGCGAGGGUUCCGGCCCGAGUUCGAUAACCCUUUGAUUUAUCAAGACCUUCUUCUGCCUCGGGGGUGACCCGGCCCUCGGGCUGGUGUCCCCCCGGCGGUACACCAUUCAAACUCUGCAUCAAUUGUCGUCUGAGUAUGAAGUAAAUUCAAUCA